rnacentral:lncRNA from 1 species
AAUCAUUGGAAUGUUGCCUUUGUUUAACGUAAACUUUUCUUAUUAGCAAUGGUAAAAUUUGUUUGGGCUAUAAAAAGCAGCUGAGAUCAGUGAUGAAAAAUACAACACACAACACUCGAUUUAAUAUCUUGCACUUAUAUACUUUGAAAUCUACUCUGUUUCCGGUGCAAAUUCUGAGCUGCUGAUUCAUUGAUAUAUUCAGUCAAUUUGCGUGGGCAUUAAAUUGGUGAUAUCUUUUACUAUUUCUAUUUGAUCAUUGCAUUCAUUAGUCGAGCCUUGCAUUGUUAAAUUGUUUAUUUGCUUUGAUCAUUAGACCUCUAUCAUUGUAAUCUUAUAUAUUUUUAGACUAAGUGUUGUCUAAAG